CUCACUAUAUUUCUUACACUUGUGCACUCUCUCUUACUUUCACAUACACGUUCCUGCCCCUCCCUCCCCUCUCUCUCAAUUAUCUCCACUCACUAUCUUUCACACACUUGUGCACUCUCUCUCUCUCUCCCCCUCUCCCUCACAUUCAUUCACCCACACAGCCAACACAUGUACAUACACACACACACAGAGACUUUGCAUCUCCAGGAGGUUGCAGGAAUUCUAAUGGGCGAGCAAAUUCAAACAUUUGAUUCGCAAAUGACUUAGAUUCAUCAAAUCAAGACCUUAGAAUCAUACCAUAAAAACAAAAUCCUAAAUGAAGAAUCAAUUGUCCAGUUUUUCUCAAAAUUCAGUGCAGACACCUUCAUGAGAGCUCCAGUUUUUCUGAAAGUUCAGUGCAGGCAGUGGCCUACACUGGACUCCAUGUAGCUCCGCCC
rnacentral:lncRNA from 1 species